UUUUUUUGGGAUUAAGUUAAUUUUCAUGGCAAAGAAGGACUAUGCAAUUCAUCUGAUCACUCUUCAUAACAUUCUGGAGUAUAUGCAAAUUGCUAUUAUAAAAACUUAAGCAGUAACUUUUCCAAUUUCCAAUAUUUAUGUAAUUCUCAAAACUUUUGGCCACGACUGUACACAAGAGAAAAGGAAAAUUAUCACAAAUAGUCAGAAGAGGGCAGUGUAGCCCACUCAAUAAUCCUUAAAUUUCAGCGCAUUUAUUCUGAAGUCCCAAUGAAAUCAAAAUGGAAGUUUUUUUGGUGAGGACAGUAAAGUUAUAUAUAAGAUAGUGCACUCCAACAGACAAAAUGACAAAAUUUGCAUUUAAAUGUCCCGGCUGAGCCAGGACACCUUUUUGUGUGGAGUUUGCAUGUUCUCCCCGUGUCUGUGUGGGUUUCCGCCAGGUGCUAUGGUUUCCCCCACAAUCCAAAAGACAUGCAAUACAGAUCUGCUUUUAUGAACUCCACAACCCGAGCUAAUGCAAGGGAGACGAGGUCAAAGGUUAUUUCAACACAACUGUUUUCAUCCCUCCAAGCUUAAUUCCAACAUAUGCAACAAUUAAAGAUGAUGACAAAUAUUCAGGCCCAUGUGAGAACAUUUCUGGCUUCUGACGGCUUUGGAAACAUCUCC
ensembl:lncRNA